CCUACGGGAGGCAGCAGUGGGGAAUAUUGCACAAUGGGCGAAACCCUGAUGCAGCAACGCCGCGUGCGUGAAGAAGUAUCUAGGUAUGUAAAGCUCUAUUUGCACGGAAGAAGAAAGACGGUACCUGACUUAGAAGCCCCGGCGAACUACGUACCAGCAGCCGCGGUAAUACGUAGGGGGCACGCGUUAACCGGAUUUACUGGGUGUAAAGGGAGCGUUGGCGGCUGUGCAAGUCUGAAGUGAAAGCCCGUGGCUGAACCGCGGAACUGCUGUUGAAACUGUAUAGCUUGAGUACUGGAGAGGCAGGCGGAAUUCCUAGUGUAGCGGUGAAAUGCGUAGAUAUUAGGAGGAACACCAGUGGCGAAGGCGGCCUGCUGGACAGAAACUGACGUUGAGGCUCGAAAGCGUGGGGAGCAAACAGGAUUAGAUACCCUGGUAGUC
rnacentral:rRNA from 1 species